GGCGGCGCCCCUGCCUUUGGGGAGCGGCUCUCUCCUCUUCCUGCCGAACAUGUUAGUUGAAAGUUGCUCGUCAACGAUAUCCCGCUGAAACAAACUACAAGACACGACGAGGGCAAGUGAGAUGAUCUCCAGGAUGUAGAAGACCAGCUCCAUGACCACGGGACCCUCGCUAAGCUGGCAUGCGCCGCCGUGGAUGACGGGGAUGAGUGCGCUGUCCAAGUCACUAAGGUACUCCGGAGGAAGAGGCUGCCCGUUGCUGCCCGCCAGGUAGCCCACCUGGAAAGGGAACAAAAACAACGGAUCACUUUGCCAUUGGCCUUGAACUCGGAACCAUGGAAGAUCUUCACGCUGGCGAUGGACUCCAUCGACUUGCUGUCAAUUGGACUGAUGACACUGAAAUGAAACAGUUUUUAGGUCUUUAGUUCGGCCUCGUGGGAGGUCAGGGCUGUAUGGAGUGCCACGCCAGCCGUCUUUGAAAAGGCCCAAGUUCUCACCCCUUGUUGAAGUCAUGGUCGUCGUCAGUCCACUGGAUGUGCACCAGCUCCUGGUUGUCCUCCUGCUCAGCUUUACCGCACGUGAUGGUGAAGUCUUUCAUGUCCCUCAGCGCUUGCCGUAGAGCAUCCAUGGUCUCGGCCGUGAUCUGGAUCAUCACGCCGUCUGAGAAAGUAGACAGGAUGACGCCAUAGCGUUAAUUGUACAGGCAUAACACAGUAAAAAAAAUACGAGCUGGGAUGUAGGAGACAGCAGCUCCUCCGUGAGUACGCUCAUUGUGUUUGUGUUUUAUUGUUCUCCUGGCAUUCAAUAAAUGGCUGAAAAGUACAUCAGCAGCGCUGCCAACCAAUAGAAAUUCACUUCCAGAACAAUAUAUCCAAAUUUGUCUGAAUAUUCAUAUUUUCUAAGUUUUGUCAAAAACACUAUCGUGGAACAGAUCAGAUCUCAAAAGUCAAUUAAAACUCAGCACUCUAUUUUGCAAAGAAACAAAUAACAUUGCUGAUAGAUUGAAUUGGAUAGUUCAUGCAUGGACAAUAGUUUAGAUUUCUAUUUUGUGAAUGUACUUGUAUAGCUGUCUUCUCUUUUCUGGGUGUUGUUGAUAAAUGGCUUUUGCUUUGCAGAGUAGAGUUUCAAGUUGCACUUAGGGAUGUAGCGCCGAACUGUAUUUACUGACAUUGGUUUUCUGAAGUGUUCCUGAGCCCACGUGGUUAUAUACUUUCCACAUUGAUGUCGGUUUUUGAUACAGUGUCGCCUGAGGGAUCGAAGGUCACGGGCAUUCAAUGUUGGUUUUCGGCCUUGCCGCUUACAUGCAGUGAUUUCUCCAGAUUCUCUGAACCUUUUGAUGAUAUUAUGGACUGUAGAUGAUGAAAUCCCUAAAUUUCUUGCAAUAGUAUGUUGAGGAACAUUGUCCUUAAACUGUUCGACUAUUUUCUCAAGCACUUGUUCACAAAGAGGUGAACCUCGCCCCAUCUUUGCUUGUGAAUGACUGAGCAAUUCAAGGAAGCUCCUUUUAUACCCAACCAUGGCACUCACCUGUUCCCAAUUAGCCUGUUCACCUGUGGGAUGUUCCAAACAGGUGUUUGAUGAGCAUUCCUCAACUUUCUCAGUCUUUUUU